ACGGCCAUAGGUUAAUGGUAGACCAUUUGUCUUCCAAACAAAGUAUGCCGAUUCGAUUUCGGCUGGCCGUA
rnacentral:tRNA from 1 species